rnacentral:rRNA from 1 species
GACGUAGGAGGCGAGCGUUAUCCGGAUUCACUGGGCGUAAAGCGCAUGUAGGCGGUUCGCUAAGUCCGCUGUUAAAGCCCCCGGCUCAACUGGGGGAGGUCAGUGGGGACUAUAGGACUUGAGGGCAACAGAGGCACGUGGAACUCCCGGUGUAGCGGUGGAAUGCGUAGAGAUCGGGAAGAACACCAGUGGCGAAGGCGACGUGCUGGGUUGCGACUGACGCUGAGAUGCGAAAGUGUGGGGAGCAAACAGG